rnacentral:rRNA from 1 species
UGACCACUACCUACGGGGCGCAGCAGUGGGGAAUUGUUCGCAAUGGGCGCAAGCCUGACGACGCAACGCCGCGUGGAGGAUGAAGGUCUUCGGAUUGUAAACUCCUGUUGCCCGGGACGAAAAGCUCCGACCUAACACGUCGGAGUCUGACGGUACCGGGUGAGGAAGCCCCGGCUAACUCUGUGCCAGCAGCCGCGGUAAUACAGAGGGGGCAAGCGUUGUUCGGAAUUACUGGGCGUAAAGGGCGCGUAGGCGGCCCGCUAAGUCGAACGUGAAAUCCCCGGGCUCAACCCGGGAACUGCGUCCGAGACUGGCAGGCUUGAAUCCGGGAGAGGGAUGUGGAAUUCCAGGUGUAGCGGUGAAAUGCGUAGAUAUCUGGAGGAACAUCGGUGGCGAAGGCGGCAUCCUGGACCGGUAUUGACGCUGAGGCGCGAAAGCCAGGGGAGCAAACGGGAUUAGAUACCCCGGUAGUCCUGGCCCUAAACGAUGAAUGCUUGGUGUGGCGGGUAUCGAUCCCUACCGUGCCGAAGCUAACGCAUUAAGCAUUCCGCCUGGG